rnacentral:rRNA from 1 species
AAUGAACGUUGGCGGCGUGGAUUAGGCAUGCAAGUCGAACGAGAUCUGUAGCAAUACAGUGAAAGUGGCGAAAGGGGGAGUAAUACGUAGGUACCUGCCCUCGGGUCUGGGAUAGCUGCGGGAAACUGCAAUUAAUACCGGAUGACGUCUCUGGACCAAAGGUGUGAUUCCGCCAGGGGAUGGGCCUGCGUCCUAUCAGCUAGUUGGUGUGGUAAUGGCGCACCAAGGCUAAGACGGGUACGGGGUGUGAGAGCAUGCCCCCGCUCACUGGGACUGAGAUACUGCCCAGACACCUACGGGUGGCUGCAGUCGAGAAUCUUCCGCAAUGGGCGCAAGCCUGACGGAGCGACGCCGCGUGUGGGAUGAAGGCCUUCGGGUUGUAAACCACUGUCAGUGGGGAGCAAAUGCAUCAGGGUUCUCCCUGGUGUUUGAGCGGUCCGCAGAGGAAGCACAGGCUAAUUCCGUGCCAGCAGCCGCCGCGGUAA